rnacentral:lncRNA from 1 species
UUUUGCAAAUACCCAUGGUUGUCCUUUGAAAAUUUUGAGCAGCACAACCUCAUUUAGAUUCUGGUCCAAUUUUCUGUUUUGAACUAUAAUCCUAUUUUAAAUUGCCCCAAUCCUUUUGAGAUUUUUACCACUUGAAGUAGAGCCUACCAAACCUCUUAAGUCCAACAGAUGAGAGCCUUUGGGAUACAUCUAGCCCAUGCUUUAAUGCCCCUAAAACUAUGUCGAGAAAUUUUUUCUCCAAAAGUUGUACUAGCAAUUUUCUUCUUUGCUCAAACUAACCCUACCAUCUUGACGAGCACCUAAAGAGACCCAGAUCUGGAGUAUUUGGCCUCUAACAAAAUCAAUUUGAUGCCUUUAACCUCGUAUCGAACACCUUGUGUCCAUAGGCAGAUUUGGCAUAGUUUCAGCUUUGCAUGGUGGACUUGCUUGUAUAGCCAAACUAGUAUGUCUUGAAACCUUUUCUUACCCC